GUGUCAGCCUUGGGGGGUGAAGUCUUUUAUCCACAAAACAGGUACAGCACAGGAAGCUGCAGUGCAAGCCUCCCCACACUCUCUUGCCAAUAUGCCUCAACCCUGCCCUGACAGGUACAUCUUCAUUAUUAGAUAUGUAUGAGUAAUAUUAGAGAUAUAAACUCUCACAUUUCAUAACUCAAGCACUAAAUGGCAAGA
rnacentral:sRNA from 1 species